ACUUGAAUUGAAGAGUUUGAUCAUGGCUCAGAUUGAACGCUGGCGGCAGGCUUAACACAUGCAAGUCGAACGGUAGCAGGAGAAAGCUUGCUUUCUUGCUGACGAGUGGCGGACGGGUGAGUAAUGCUUGGGAAUCUGGCUUAUGGAGGGGGAUAACGACGGGAAACUGUCGCUAAUACCGCGUAUUAUCGGAAGAUGAAAGUGCGGGACUGAGAGGCCGCAUGCCAUAGGAUGAGCCCAAGUGGGAUUAGGUAGUUGGUGGGGUAAAGGCCUACCAAGCCUGCGAUCUCUAGCUGGUCUGAGAGGAUGGCCAGCCACACUGGAACUGAGACACGGUCCAGACUCCUACGGGAGGCAGCAGUGGGGAAUAUUGCGCAAUGGGGGGAACCCUGACGCAGCCAUGCCGCGUGAAUGAAGAAGGCC
rnacentral:rRNA from 1 species